CGAAUGCUGACGUGAGUAACGACAAAACGGGUGAAAAACCCGUUCGCCGAAAGACCAAGGGUUCCAGUCCAACGUUAAUCGGGGCUGGGUGAGUCGACCCCUAAGGCGAGGCCGAAAGGCGUAGUCGAUGGGAAAAUGGUUAAUAUUCCAUUACUUCUGUGUAAUGCGAUGAGAGGACGGAGAAGGCUAAAUCAGCCUGGCGUUGGUUGUCCAGGUGAAAGGAUGUAGGCAUGUAUCUUAGGCAAAUCCGGGGUACUCUAUGCUGAGAUCUGAUAGCAAGCUGUACUUGUACAGCGAAGUGGUUGAUGCCAUGCUUCCAGGAAAAGUCUCUAAGCUUCAGUUACACAGGAAUCGUACCCGAAACCGACACAGGUGGUCAGGUCGAGUAGACCAAGGCGCUUGAGAGAACUCUGCUGAAGGAACUAGGCAAAAUGGUACCGUAACUUCGGGAGAAGGUACGCUGUUGUUGGUGAUGGAACUCGCUUCCUGAGCUGACGACAGCCGCAGAAACCAGGCCGCUGCAACUGUUUAUUAAAAACAUAGCACUCUGCAAACACGAAAGUGGACGUAUAGGGUGUGAUGCCUGCCCGGUGCUGGAAGGUUAAUUGAUGGGGUUAGCGUAAGCGAAGCUCUUGAUCGAAGCCCCAGUAAACGGCGGCCGUAACUAUAACGGUCCUAAGGUAGCGAAAUUCCUUGUCGGGUAAGUUCCGACCUGCACGAAUGGCAUAAUGAUGGCGGCGCUGUCUCCAGCAGAGGCUCAGUGAAAUCGAAAUCGCUGUGAAGAUGCAGUGUACCCGCGGCUAGACGGAAAGACCCCGUGAACCUUUACUGCAGCUUGACACUGAACUUUGACCUUACUUGUGUAGGAUAGGUGGGAGGCUUUGAAGCUGGAACGCUAGUUCCAGUGGAGCCGUCCUUGAAAUACCACCCUGGUAAUGUUGAGGUUCUAACUCUGUCCCGUGAUCCGGGACGAGGACCGUGUCUGGUGGGUAGUUUGACUGGGGCGGUCUCCUCCUAAAGAGUAACGGAGGAGUACGAAGGUGCGCUCAGCGUGGUCGGAAAUCACGCGUAGAGUAUAAAGGCAAAAGCGCGCUUAACUGCGAGACCCACAAGUCGAGCAGGUACGAAAGUAGGUCUUAGUGAUCCGGUGGUUCUGUAUGGAAGGGCCAUCGCUCAACGGAUAAAAGGUACUCUGGGGAUAACAGGCUGAUACCGCCCAAGAGUUCAUAUCGACGGCGGUGUUUGGCACCUCGAUGUCGGCUCAUCUCAUCCUGGGGCUGAAGCAGGUCCCAAGGGUAUGGCUGUUCGCCAUUUAAAGAGGUACGCGAGCUGGGUUUAGAACGUCGUGAGACAGUUCGGUCCCUAUCUACCGUGGGCGCUGGAAAUUUGAGAGGAUCUGCUCCUAGUACGAGAGGACCAGAGUGGACGAACCUCUGGUGUACCGGUUGUGACGCCAGUCGCAUCGCCGGGUAGCUAUGUUCGGAAGGGAUAACCGCUGAAAGCAUCUAAGCGGGAAGCCUACCU
rnacentral:rRNA from 1 species